GUCUGCGAUCAUACCGGCACUAAUGCGCCGGAUCCCAUCAGAACUCCAAAGUUAAGCGUGCUUGGGCGAGAGUAACACUUGGAUGGCUGACUCCCUGGGAAGUCCUCGUGUCGCACCCU